GACGAACGCUGGCGGCGUGCUUAACACAUGCAAGUCGAACGGAAAGGCCCUGCUUGCAGGGUGCUCGAGUGGCGAACGGGUGAGUAACACGUGGGUGAUCUGCCCCUUACUUUGGGAUAAGCCUGGGAAACUGGGUCUAAUACUGGAUAGGACCAUGCUGUAGGUGGUGUGGUGGAAAGAUUAGUUUCGGUAAGGGAUGAGCUCGCGGCCUAUCAGCUUGUUGGUGGGGUAAUGGCCUACCAAGGCGUCGACGGGUAGCCGGCCUGAGAGGGUGGACGGCAACAUUGGGACUGAGAUACGGCCCAGACUCCUAGGGGAGGCAGCAGUGGGAAAUAUGGCACAAUGGGCGAAAGCCGGAUGCAGCGACGCCGCGUGGGGAUGACGGCCUUCGGGUUGUAAACUCCUUUCAGCCAUGACGAAGCCCUUGUGGUGACGGUAGUGGUAGAAGAAGCACCGGCUAACUACGUG
rnacentral:rRNA from 1 species